ensembl:lncRNA
GAUGGAGAGGAUUGGGAGAUAGAGAGGGAGGGAGAUAGAGAGGAUUGGGAGAUAGAGAGGGAGGGAGCUAGAGAGGGAGGGAGAUAGAGAGGGAGGGAGAGAGGGAGGGAGAUAGAGAGGGAGGGAGAUAGAGAGGGAGAUAGCUAGACAGGGAGGUAGAGAGGGAGCUAGAGAGGGAGGGAGGGAGCUAGACAGGGAGGUAGAGAGGGAGCUAGAGAGGGAGGGAGGGAGCUAGACAGGGAGGUAGAUAGGGAGACAGGGAGGAAGACAGGGAGGGAGGUAGAUAGGGAGACAGGGAGGUAGAAAGGGAGGGAGGGAGCUAGACAGGGAGGUAGAGAGGGAGGGAGCUAGACAGGGA